CCUUGAAAUACCACCCUUUAAUGUUUGAUGUUCUAACGUGGACCCGUUACCCGGGUUGCGGACAGUGUCUGGUGGGUAGUUUGACUGGGGCGGUCUCCUCCUAAAGAGUAACGGAGGAGCACGAAGGUUGGCUAAUCCUGGUCGGACAUCAGGAGGUUAGUGCAAUGGCAUAAGCCAGCUUGACUGCGAGCGUGACGGCGCGAGCAGGUGCGAAAGCAGGUCAUAGUGAUCCGGUGGUUCUGAAUGGAAGGGCCAUCGCUCAACGGAUAAAAGGUACUCCGGGGAUAACAGGCUGAUACCGCCCAAGAGUUCAUAUCGACGGCGGUGUUUGGCACCUCGAUGUCGGCUCAUCACAUCCUGGGGCUGAAGUAGGUCCCAAGGGUAUGGCUGUUCGCCAUUUAAAGUGGUACGCGAGCUGGGUUUAGAACGUCGUGAGACAGUUCGGUCCCUAUCUGCCGUGGGCGCUGGAGAACUGAGGGGGGCUGCUCCUAGUACGAGAGGACCGGAGUGGACGCAUCACUGGUGUUCGGGUUGUCAUGCCAAUGGCACUGCCCGGUAGCUAAAUGCGGAAGAGAUAAGUGCUGAAAGCAUCUAAGCACGAAACUUGCCCCGAGAUGAGUUCUCCCUGAGACUUUAGGUCUCCUGAAGGAACGUUGAAGACGACGACGUUGAUAGGCCGGGUGUGUAAGCGCAGCGAUGCGUUGAGCUAACCGGUACUAAUGAACCGUGAGGCUUAACCUUACAACGCCGAAGGUGUUU
rnacentral:rRNA from 1 species